UACGUAGGCAGCAAGCGUUGUUCGGAGUUACUGGGCGUAAAGGGUGCGUAGGCGGCUUUUUAAGUUUGGUGUGAAAUCUCCCGGCUCAACUGGGAGGGUGCGCCGAAUACUGAGAGGCUAGAGUGUGGGAGAGGAAAGUGGAACUCCUGGUGUAGCGGUGAAAUGCGCAGAUAUCAGGAGGAACACCGGUGGCGAAGGCGGAUCUCUGGGCCUUACCUGACGCUGAGGCGCGAAAGCUAGGGGAGCAAACAGG
rnacentral:rRNA from 1 species